rnacentral:rRNA from 1 species
GACGAACGCUGGCGGCAUGCCUUACACAUGCAAGUCGAACGUGAAAGCGGGGCAACCCGCAAGUAGAGUGGCGGACGGGUGAGUAAUACAUCGGAACGUGUCCAGUAAUGGGGGAUAACCUAGCGAAAGUUAGGCUAAUACCGCAUACGAUCUGCGGAUGAAAGCGGGGGAUGCGGCACUAAAGGCUUUUGGCGAAGGUGGCCAAAGGUGAGUCAAGAGCUUUUAGUGCUGCACCUCGCGUUAUUGGAGCGGCUGAUGUCUGAUUAGCUAGUUGGUGAGGUAAAGGCUUACCAAGGCGACGAUCAGUAGCUGGUCUGAGAGGACGGCCAGCCACACUGGGACUGAGACACGGCCCAGACUCCUACGGGAGCAGCAGUGGGAAUUUUGGACAAUGGGGCAACCCUGAUCCAGCCAUGCCGCGUGAGUGAAG